rnacentral:rRNA from 1 species
UACGUAGGGCGCAAGCGUUGUCCGGAAUUAUUGGGCGUAAAGAGCUCGUAGGCGGUUUGUCGCGUCUGCUGUGAAAACCUAAGGCUCAACCUUGGGCUUGCAGUGGGUACGGGCAGACUAGAGUGCGGGUAAGGGGUGACUGGAAUUCCUGGUGAUAGCGGUGGAAUGCGCAGAUAUCAGGAGGAACCACCGGUGGCGAAGCGACAUCCUGGACCGGUAUU